rnacentral:rRNA from 1 species
UUUUGGACAAUGGGGGCAACCCUGAUCCAGCAAUGCCGCGUGAGUGAAGAAGGCCUUCGGGUUGUAAAGCUCUUUUGUCGGGGAAGAAACGGUGAGGUUUAAUACAUUUCACUAAUGACGGUACCCGAAGAAUAAGCACCGGCUAACUACGUGCCAGCAGCCGCGGUAAUACGUAGGGUGCGAGCGUUAAUCGGAAUUACUGGGCGUAAAACGUGCGCAGGCGGUUUUGUAAGACAGAGGUGAAAUCCCCGGGCUCAACCUUGGAACUGCCUUUGUGACUGCAAGGCUGGAGUACGGCAGAGGGGGAUGGAAUUCCGCGUGUAGCAGUGAAAUGCGUAGAUAUGCGGAGGAACACCGAUGGCGAAGGCAAUCCCCUGGGCCUGUACUGACGCUCAUGCACGAAA